GAAGUGAAUAGUGAAACCUGAAGGCUCAACCUUCAGACUAUUAUUCAAACUCGUAUGCUCGAGAAUGGUAGAGGUAGCUGGAAUUUCUAGUGUAGGAGUGAAAUCCGUAGAUAUAGGGAGGAACACCAAUGGCGUAGGCAGGUAACUGGCUCAUCUCUGACACUAAGGCACGAAAGCGUGGGGAGCAAACGGGAUUAGAUACCCCGGUAGUCCACGCCGUAAACUAUGGAUGCUA
rnacentral:rRNA from 1 species